rnacentral:rRNA from 1 species
UGGCGGACGGGUGAGUAAUGUCUGGGAAACUGCCUGAUGGAGGGGGAUAACUACUGGAAACGGUAGUUAAUACCGCAUAACGUCGCAAGACCAAAGAGGGGGACCUUAGGGCCUCUUGCCAUCGGAUGUGCCCAGAUGGGAUUAGCUAGUAGGUGGGGUAAAGGCUCACCUAGGCGACGAUCCCUAGCUGGUCUGAGAGGAUGACCAGCCACACUGGAACUGAGACACGGUCCAG